rnacentral:sRNA from 2 species
CAGGCUAGCAUUAGUGAACUCAAGCGCAAUUUUAUGGAAUCCACACCUGAGCCGCGCCCUAAUGAAUGGGAAAAACGACGUAUCACACCUCUGUCCCUACAGACACAAGGGAGCCUAGAAGAGGAGAUAACAUCAAUUUUGUUUAGUGAAAAGGGCUUUUCUGAUAGCAUGAAAGCCACCUUCACUUCAGCCACCACUUGGACAGCAGAGGGCGCUGUUGUGAGCGCUAAUGCACCUUCUGAAAAGCUUUCUUCCUCGCCCUUCUCACACUUGCUUGAGACACGUGCUCCUGAGUCAGAAGGGCCUUGCACUGGAGCCAGGGAUGCUGUUAAGAGUUCACAUGAGACUCUGAAUAUAGUGGAGGAGAAGAAGCGGGCAGAGGUUGGGAAAGACGAAAGAGUAAUCACAGAAGAAAUGAAUGCAGCAGCAGCAGUGAGAGUGAGGAGGAAGACGUGGGAGAGUACCGUCCCCACCACCGAGUGACCGAGGGCACCAUCAGGGAGGAACAGGAGUA